rnacentral:misc_RNA from 1 species
AGGCAUUUGGAUUUCUUUCCAAAAUGAUUGAGAAGAUGGCACUUUGGAUCGUGAUAAAGAAGGUGAAGAAGAAGACAAUGGUCAUUUCUUCUGGGUACUGCUUCACAGUGGCUCCCCGGGCGGCAACGGUCCAUGUUGCAGACAAAACGCAAACGAUUAAAAGGAGAAAGCCUCCUAAGAUCCAAUCUGAUUUCUGCGAGAGAAGAAGUUGAUCAUGGUGAAAGUUAGAAGUUAGACUCUUCAAGACUGCAGGACCUUUAUAGAGGG